UGUCUUUGCAUGUGAGCUGGAACUCUUGAAGAUAGCAUACCUCUGGCCUUGUUUUUUAUCCAGAUUGCCAAUCUCUAUGCUUUAAUUGGGGCAUUUAGCCCAUUUACAUUUCAGGCUCACUGGUGGAAGGAACUUUCUUUGUCUCAGAUGAGACUUUGGCUUAGGCUUUUAAGUUAUUGCUGUAAUGAGUUAAGACUUUGGG
rnacentral:lncRNA from 1 species